AUCAGUUCCGCUACGUACAAGCGCCAUUGCACAAUCAGCUUGUAAUCAUUUGUUGUGGCAUUGUCAGCUUCUGUAAGAAAUAAAUUAAGAAAAAUAAAAAGGCGAAAAGUAGGCCACCAUUGUGUUCCUUCAGAAACCAUUUCAAACGAAAGACGUUGGCUUUCCUCCAAAAACCAUUUCUCCCAAACCCAUUUCUUAGAUUUCAUCUGGAAAAGAAGAAAAACUCUGAAUUUCGUUUCCACGAUUUCUCUCAAAUUAACCUGUUUCUGCAGGAAAGUUGCUUGUUUUCGUUGACGCUGGAGCGCUCCAUUUGUAGCUUUACUGCUGAUUAUUUGUAAGUGCUUUUUUACCCAUCUUCGGCUUGGGUACUUUUCUUUGGUGGGCUAGAAGAGAUAUGGUUCUAGGCGCUGAUGGUUGAGCUGCAUUCAAAUUAAUAUUCAAGAAAUGAGACUAGGUUCAAGCAAACCACGUCCUUCAGGGUAAAAAUGAAAAAAAAAAAUGUGGAAACAGAAAAGAAAGUUGGGCAAUAUGUAGUAUUUUUUUAUGUGCUAGUUAAUUUGUUUCACCAUGUUUGUGAGGGCUAAUAUGAACUAGUUUUUCAUAUGCAAAGAGUGAAGUUCAAUAGCUAUAUUAAUUUGUAAUGACAUAAUUUAUGUAAAUUUCCUGAUAGAACAUAAACCAUGUUAAUUUGAAAUGUAUUUGGCUCAUAUACGCAGAGAGUUUUGGCCAUAUUUAUUUGUAAUUACAUAAUUUAUAUAAAAUUUCUAGUGAUAGAACAUCACAAGUAAAUUUUCUA